rnacentral:ncRNA from 1 species
UGAACGCCUCUAAGUCAGAAUCCGGGCUAGACCGACGCAUCGCUCGUCGCGCCGUUUGCCGACCCGCAGUAGGGGCCAUUUGGCCCCCAAGGGCACGUGUCGUUGGCUAAGCCGUCGUGGCGGAAGGGUCACGGUGGCCGCCUUGAAUUACAAUUCCGAUCGAGCGGCGAGCUGAAUCCUUUGCAGACGACUUAAAUACGCGACGGGGUAUUGUAAGGGGUAGAGUGGCCUUGCUGCCACGAUCCUCUGAGAUUCAGCCCUUUGUCGCUCCGAUUCGU